GACUUCCGGUUGUCAAGCUCCCGGCCGGGCUGACUCAAGCGGAGGUGCGCGGAACGGUCGCCGCGGCGAUUCCCGCCCAGGCUCCUGUGACCACCAGGCAGCGGCCCUGCCAUGUCCCAGCCCCGGACCCCAGAGCAGGCACUGGACACGCCGGGGGACUGGCCCCCAGGCAGGAGAGACGAGGACGCCGGGGAGGGGAUCCAGUGCUCCCAACGCAUGCUCAGCUUCAGUGACGCCCUGCUGUCCAUCAUCGCCACUGUCAUGAUCCUGCCUGUGACCCACACGGAGAUCUCCCCAGAACAGCAGUUGGACAGAAGUGUACAGAGGCUUCUGGCGACACGGAUCGCCGUCUACCUGAUGACCUUUCUCAUCGUGACGGUGGCCUGGGCGGCGCACACACGGUUGUUCCAAGUUGUUGGGAAAACAGACGACACACUUGCCCUGCUCAACCUGGCCUGCAUGAUGACCAUCACCUUCCUGCCUUACACGUUUUCCUUAAUGGUGACCUUCCCUGAUGUGCCUCUGGGUAUCUUCUUGUUCUGUGUGUGUGUGAUCGCCAUCGGGGUCGUGCAGGCACUGAUUGUGGGGUACGCAUUCCACUUCCCGCACCUGCUGAGCCCGCAGAUCCAGCGCUCUGCCCACAGGGGUCUGUACCGACGACACGUCCUGGGCAUCGUCCUCCAAGGCCCAGCCCUGUGCUUUGCAGCGGCCAUCUUCUCUCUCUUCUUUGUCCCCUUGUCUUACCUGCUGAUGGUGACUGUCAUCCUCCUCCCCUAUGUCAGCAAGGUCACCGGCUGGUGCAGAGACAGGCUCCUGGGCCACAGGGAGCCCUCGGCUCACCCAGUGGAAGUCUUCUCAUUUGACCUCCACGAGCCACUCAGCAAGGAGCGCGUGGAAGCCUUCAGCGACGGAGUCUACGCCAUCGUGGCCACGCUUCUCAUCCUGGACAUCUGGUGAGGACCCCGCGUCACCUGCCCCAGCUAUCAGGUGGCCAGUGUGUCUGAGU
rnacentral:sRNA from 1 species